rnacentral:misc_RNA from 1 species
GAUGAAGAACGCAGUUAAAUGCGAUAACUAGUGUGAAUUGCAGAAUUCCGUGAAUCAUCGAGUCUUUGAACGCACAUUGCGCCCCCUGGUAUUCCGGGGGGCAUGCCUGUCCGAGCGUCAUUGCUGCCCAUCAAGCACGGCUUGUGUGUUGGGUCGUCGUCCCCUCUCCGGGGGGGACGGGCCCCAAAGGCAGCGGCGGCACCGCGUCCGAUCCUCGAGCGUAUGGGGCUUUGUCACCCGCUCUGUAGGCCCGGCCGGCGCUUGCCGAACGCAAAUCAAUCUUUUUCCAGGUUGACCUCGGAUCAGGUAGGGAUACCCGCUGAACUUAAGCAUAUCAAUAAGCGGAGGA